GGGCCAGUAGCUCAGCCGGUUAGAGCAACGGACUCAUAAUCCGUCGGUCGUGGGUUCAAGCCCCACCUGGCCCA
rnacentral:tRNA from 1 species